rnacentral:tRNA from 1 species
GCCCUCGUAGCUCAGUGGAUAGAGCAUUUGGUUGCGGACCAAAGGGCCCGGCGUUCGAGUCGCCGCGAGGGCG